UCCGUAGGUGAACCUGCGGAAGGAUCAUUACUGAACUGUCGACGCGAGUUGUUGCUGGUCUCCAAAUGGGGGCAUGUGCACACUCUGUUUGCACAUCCACUCACACCUGUGCACCUUCUGUGGUUCUGUGGCCUGGGGGACUAUGUCCUCCUGCUGUGGUUCUACAUCUUUACAAUACACACACCGUAACAAAGUCUCAUGGAAUGUAUGCUGCGUUUAACGCAAUACAAUACAACUUUCAGCAACGGAUCUCUUGGCUCCCGCAUCGAUGAAGAACGCAGCGAAGUGCGAUAAGUAAUGUGAAUUGCAGAAUUCAGUGAAUCAUCGAAUCUUUGAACGCACCUUGCGCUCCUUGGUAUUCCGAGGAGCAUGCCUGUUUGAGUGUCAUUAAAUUCUCAACUAUACAAGUUUUUACAACCUGUAUGGCUUGGAUCUUGGGAUAUACGGGCUUUCACAAGUCGGCUCUCCUUAAAUGCAUUAGCAGAGCUUUUGCCGCUAACCUCUGGUGUGAUAAUUAUCUACGCCAUUGAGAAGUGACAUAUUGAGGCUUAGCUUCUAAUCGUCCAUUUGGACAACAUUUGACAAUCUGACCUCAAAUCAGGUAGGACUACCCGCUGAACUUAGGCAUAUCAAUAAGCGGAGGA
rnacentral:rRNA from 1 species